UUAGUUAAGGCUUGUUUACAGUUCGGAAAAUUUGCCACGGGAUUUGCGCGCGGGAUUUGGCACGGGAAUCAACACGGGAAAUUUUUCCGCCGACUGUUCUCCUCAUCUCUCCACAAAUAACUUUGACGUUUGUUUACGUGUUUACAUCGGUCCCAGAAAAAAUGUUUUCUCUAAUCGGUCCAGAAUGUUUUUCGUUUUUUUGGUGCUGCAAUUGAUCAUUCGUCGUUCAAUAGUUAUUCAAAAGUGUGCCAUCCGCCUUCUGCAUCUUAAGUUACUGCUGCUCAAACCACCAAAACCCGCACCUGACCGUCCGGAACUGCGGCAUGCUGAAUAAUUCGAUUGAAAGCGGUCGCCAAAAAUGCUUCGUCCCAGGAGGACAAGGGAAAGUAACGGCACAGCUCGGCUUGUGCUCAGCGGAUCGCUGAAAUAAAUAAACAUCGAUCAACUCUGGGUCAUCGAGCAGCGGCGCACCAAGGCUUCGCUCCAAAAGGCUUGUUUUUACGUUCCCGAAGACGCAAUUGCAUUGCCGGAUACGCCCAUUGGGGGUCCGCAUCUACUACACUACUUUUCUGUCGGAUCCACCCUUGGAGCACGGAAAACAGCGAACAUUGGACGACGCAAGCAGAACCAUUGCUCGGAGACUACACGGCGUCAGAACCACGGAAGGUGUUAGUUCAAUUUCUAAAGCAGUCCGCAACAAAAUUUCUAGAGGAAUUGCUUUAAUUUAAACUUUAAUUACUUCCAUCGGUUUCGGAUCCAAGAUCGGCGCCGGCAGACUACGUGACGGGUAGCACAGAUGGCUGCCCACGAUAUGACGACGGCGCACCAUGAUUCGAGCAAGCUCCAACGGUCGCUGUCGUUUCGUUCCAACGGUAUCCCGAAACGUCCCGAAACGCAUGGAAUUUCACUGGUGCGUGUGAAACCGGCUUUCGACCGACUCAAUUGACGACAUUAUCGAAUUGAUUAAAUGCCCCUCCAAACGGCGGACUAUUUUGCACGAUGCCCUGAACAAAAUGAUAUCCAGGAAACCCGCUGACAAAGCUGUCGAAAAAAAGUUGACUGAAAAAUAUUGACGAGUUUCAACGGGACUACGAUGUGACCAUGCCCAACCGGUUCGAAUAUGCAGGCCGAUAGUAUGCACAACAAGGACACGGGAUGUUCCCCAGCGGAACUAGCUUUUUAUAUGGAACUAGCAUCGCGACAAAACGAUCCAGAUGCUCUAUAAAUCGACUUGUGAUGCCGCCGUCUUCGAGUGAUAUAAAAAAGAUUCACCCCUGCAUCAAAUACACCAUGUUCAGGACUCUGAUGGACUGGUGGUAUUCUACGGGCACGAGAUCUGGAAUAUGCUCAAGGAAGAUAGCAAGUGUCCGAGCAUCGGGUGCUUAGAACCAUCUUUGGCGGUGUGCAGGAGAACGAUGUGUGGCGGCGAAGGAUGAGCCACGAGCUCACUGCACUCUACGGCGAAUCUAGCAUCCGGAAGGUGGCAAAAGCUGGAAUGAAACGAUGGGCAGGGCAUGUUUUGAGAAUGCCGGACAACAAGCCUACAAAGCUGGUUCGCAAGAGAUCCGUAUAGUACAAGGAGACCUGGAGGGUAGCAUGCAAGAUCAGGUGCAGAACGAUCUGGCUAAUGUAGAACGCGGCCGAUGAUUGAGCAAAUGUGUGCAAAUCGAGUGUUGUGGCGAGGAAUUGUUGAAUCAGUUUUAUUGUAAUAUGUAAUACUAAACAAAUAAAGGAAUGCUAUGAAAAAUGACCAAAACUGCUGUAACUCCUCAACGAACUUUUUCAGAAAGGCCUU